rfam:Mangrovibacter sp. MFB070 Contig-025, whole genome shotgun sequence.
AGCAGGGAGAUAACCCGUCAAAAAAGCGUGAACCGGCAGCGUCAGGCAGAGCGCGGCCGGUGAAC